CAGGGCAGAUCUAUGCUCUACCAGCUCCCUUAACACCAUACGAGUUUUUAGUAUUUGCAGCUCACUUCCUGUAUGAGCUGUCAGCAUCCCAAUUCUGAGCCAAAGCAUCCCGGCGGUGUGCACUGAGCAGCAGGGAACUGUGGUGGUUAAAGACAGCCUUCCAAGAGUCCAGUGGGAUUGUGACAAGAGGUUUUUGGAGCGUUGAAAAGAGGAGGAAGAUGAAGGGGAACAGCAAUAUCUUGGAGACAAUGGGUUGGUGGUCGGAGUGGAAUCUCCAACCUUACUAUUCUACGAUAUUCAAAAGUAAGCCCUCCUUGACUCUGAACAGCUUAAAAACAAAACAAAACAAGACACAAACAAACAGGGAAGUGCAGCUGCCUCUGCAGAAACAAGCCCUGCUCUCGCCCCACCACCGUGACUCAUGGCCAGGGCUAAAUUCCCAGCAAAGGGAGGCGUGCUAAUCCUGAACGAGUGGCUUGGGCUCUGCAUUCAGGGAGCAAAUAGCAAAGAGGUGUACACAGACAUAUAUCUGCAUGCUUGGCUUCUUGUUACUGCCAUCCCCUGCUGCUGAUCUCCAUGAGCCCCACGAUCACCUCGUGGCUGCUCCUUUUGUGCGGAGAGCCCCACACGAGCGAGCGCAGCAAAAUAAUUGUUCCAAACCACAGCUGAUGCUAUCAGUUAUCUGCCAGCUAUUAUCUGUGGUGAAAUAAAAGCAAAGUGAGCAAUUGCUCGGGUAGAUGGCUCAGGGCAAGGAGCCAUUCCAUCCCCUUGUGCUCUUUCACCAUCACCAAGUCCAAAGGGGAUCCGGCCAUAAAACAUUGGGGAGGGCUUAGAAACGAGGACAGAAAAGGGAGGGAGGGCCAAGGCAAGGGAAAGUGGGACGGUGGUAUCAAUGAGCAGAUUGUGAGGAUGAAUUCAAAAAUAAAAUAAUUAAAAACCCUCCCAGAACUCUAGUAACUCAUUAAGGAAGCCUAAGCAAUCCAGGAAAAAAAGCAAAAAAUAAAAAAAGCAAGCCCUGUAAAACCUUACUGAAUUAAAUACAUGAUCACUGCCUUGCUCUUCUCACCUGCGGGCACCUAAAAUCACCAACGAUCUCCUGACAGAGGCAGCGUCGAUCCAGAAGCCCCCAAGAAAGCACCACUGGUGACAAGUAGUCAAAUAGUUGAAGGUUUUAUUCAUAUAAAACUCAUAUUAAGAACAUAAAAGAUUGCAUACUUAAAAAAAAAAAAAAAA